rnacentral:lncRNA from 1 species
CCAAUCUGCGCCCUGGCCAUUGAUUCCUGACUGAAGGUGGAGGGCUACGCGUUGGGAUCAGCCGGGAAGGUCCAGCGCAACGGCAGGCUCACGAGUGGGCAGCGUCGGCGGAGUCGCGCGCCGAGGACAGAAUUGCUGGGAGGACAGCUGCCUGCACUGGAGACAUCAUGAAAGCUCCUCCAGAUUCUUCCUGAUUACUUACCAGCAAGGCAAGAAAGCAGAGGGGAUACAGCUAAACAGCCCUGCCCACAGGCCUGCCCCAGAGAUCCCUGAAGGCAGCUCUACCAGCAGGAAGGCCAUGAUUGGGACUGACUUUUGG